rnacentral:rRNA from 1 species
UACGUAGGUGGCAAGCGUUGUCCGGAAUCACUGGGCGUAAAGCGCGCGCAGGCGGCGAUCUACGUCUGGGGUGAAAGCCCGGAGCUCAACUCCGGGACUGCCUUGGAUACGGGAUCGCUUGAGGAUUGGAGAGGCAAGGGGGAAUUCCACGUGUAGCGGUGAAAUGCGUAGAUAUUGGGAGGAACACCAGUGGCGAAGGCGGCUCACUGGACCGGGAACUGACGCUGAGGCGCGAAAGCGUGGGGAGCAAACAGGG